rnacentral:pre_miRNA from 1 species
UUUAAGUACAACCAUGAGUUUUUCGUCUAACUUUGUAGUAAUUUUUUUUAUUAGAUGAUAAAACAUGAACAGUACUUUACUCGUGACUUAUGUUUUUAAUUUUUUUUUCAAAUAAGACGACGAUCAAAGUUGAACGCGGAAAAUCAUGUUUGCACUUAAA